rnacentral:lncRNA from 1 species
GGUCAGUCCAGCUGGCAUUGUACUGGGAGUUUCUGACAGCCACGCGCCCCCUGGAGGCGGCUCUGGUUCCCUGCGCUCCUUCCUGCGCUUGUUGGAUGCGCUGGCACUCUUUCAGGUUUUGAGCCCGCACUUCUGCGCUCAUGAUCCGCUCCACCACGCGGUUCGGGAACCAGCCGCGCUCUCCAUCGUGAAGCCUCUCACCCAGUAUCCAGCCUGAGGAGGAGAGAUGAAGCAGCUUCAGCACAAACACACAGGCCAGCAUCUGACCCUGAUCCUCCAGAUCCUCAGUCCUCAGCAUGGAGCGACUGCACGAAUCCAGAACCUGGAAUUUGUCUCCACUGAAACAUACAUAAAAUACAGACAAUUAAACAAUUAAUUAAAGCAAUUAUAUAACAAGCAAUUAAACAAUUAGUUCAGCAUAACAUAUUUGAA